rnacentral:rRNA from 1 species
UGGGGAAUAUUGCACAAUGGGGGAAACCCUGAUGCAGCGACGCCGCGUGAGCGAAGAAGGUUUUCGAAUCGUAAAGCUCUGUCCUAUGGGAAGAUAAUGACGGUACCAUAGGAGGAAGCCCCGGCUAACUACGUGCCAGCAGCCGCGGUAAUACGUAGGGGGCAAGCGUUGUCCGGAAUCACUGGGCGUAAAGGGUUCGCAGGCGGAAAUGCAAGUCAGUUGUGAAAGGCAGAGGCUCAACCUCUGUAAGCAAUUGAAUCUGUAUUUCUUGAGAUGUGGAGAGGCAAGUGGAAUUCCUAGUGUAGCGGUGAAAUGCGUAGAUAUUAGGAAGAAUACCGGUGGCGAAGGCGACUUGCUGGACACAAACUGACGCUGAGGAACGAAAGCGUGGGUAGCAAACAGG